AGAACGAACGCUGGCGGCAGGCUUAACACAUGCAAGUCGAGCGCCCGUAGCAAUACGGGAGCGGCAGACGGGAUAGUAACACGUGGGAACGCGCCCUUCGGUUCGGAAUAACUCAGGGAAACUUGAGCUAAAUACCGGAUACGCCCUUACGGGGAAAGAUUUAUUGCCGAAGGAGCGGCCCGCGUCCGAUUAGCUAGUUGGUGAGGUAAUGGCUCACCAAGGCGACGAUCGGUAGCUGGUCUGAGAGGAUGACCAGCAUCACUGGGACUGAGACACGGCCCAGACUCCUACGGGAGGCAGCAGUGGGGAAUAUUGGACAAUGGGCGCAAGCCUGAUCCAGCCAUGCCGCGUGGAUGAUGAAGGCCUUAGGGUUGUAAAGUCCUUUUAACGGGGAAGAUAAUGACGGUACCGUAGAAUAAGCCCCGGCUAACUUCGUGCCAGCAGCCGC
rnacentral:rRNA from 1 species